rnacentral:rRNA from 1 species
UACGGAGGGGGCUAGCGUUGUUCGGAAUUACUGGGCGUAAAGCGCACGUAGGCGGCUUUGCAAGUUAGAGGUGAAAGCCCGGGGCUCAACCCCGGAAUUGCCUUUAAGACUGCAGAGCUAGAAUCCGGGAGAGGUGAGUGGAAUUCCGAGUGUAGAGGUGAAAUUCGUAGAUAUUCGGAAGAACACCAGUGGCGAAGGCGGCUCACUGGACCGGUAUUGACGCUGAGGUGCGAAAGCGUGGGGAGCAAACAGG